GGGUUGUGAGGUUAAGCGACUAAGCGUACACGGUGGAUGCCCUGGCAGUCAGAGGCGAUGAAGGGCGUGCUAAUCUGCGAUAAGCGCCGGUAAGGUGAUAUGAACCGUUAUAACCGGCGAUACCCGAAUGGGGAAACCCAGUGUGACUCGUCACACUAUCAUUAACUGAAUCCAUAGGUUAAUGAGGCGAACCGGGGGAACUGAAACAUCUAAGUACCCCGAGGAAAAGAAAUCAACCGAGAUUCCCCCAGUAGCGGCGAGCGAACGGGGAGGAGCCCAGAGCCUGAAUCAGCAUGUGUGUUAGUGGAAGCGUCUGGAAAGGCGCGCGAUACAGGGUGACAGCCCCGUACACAAAAGCGCAUGUGCUGUGAGCUCGAUGAGUAGGGCGGGACACGUGGUAUCCUGUCUGAAUAUGGGGGGACCAUCCUCCAAGGCUAAAUACUCCUGACUGACCGAUAGUGAACCAGUACCGUGAGGGAAAGGCGAAAAGAACCCCGGCGAGGGGAGUGAAAAAGAACCUGAAACCGUGUACGUACAAGCAGUGGGAGCCCCACCACUAAGCCAGUGGUGAACUCCACAUACGCAUCCUUUGCUGAGGAUACGGUUAACGGAGCGAAAGCGACGUUCAACCGCAAAAGAAGCAGAGGGGGCUUAGUGGUGGGGUGACUGCGUACCUUUUGUAUAAUGGGUCAGCGACUUAUAUUCUGUAGCAAGGUUAACCGAAUAGGGGAGCCGGAGGGAAACCGAGUCUUAAUUGGGCGUUAAGUU
rnacentral:rRNA from 1 species